rnacentral:rRNA from 1 species
CCAAGCGACUGUUUACCAAAAACAUGGUUGCUCAAGGCGCAAGACGAUGUAUAGGCGCUGACGCCUGCCCGGUGCUGGAAUGUUAAGGGGAUCUGUGAGAGCAAUCGACGCAGUGAACUUAAGCCACAGUAAACGGCGUCUGUAACUAUAACGAUCCUAAGGUAGCGAAAUUCCUUGUCGGGUAAGUUCCGACCCGAACGAAAGGCGUAACGAUUUGGGCACUGAUUCAACAACAGACUCGGUGAAAUUGUA